rnacentral:rRNA from 1 species
UACGAAGGGGGCUAGCGUUGCUCGGAAUCACUGGGCGUAAAGCGCACGUAGGCGGACUCUUAAGUCGGUGGUGAAAUCCUGGAGCUCAACUCCAGAACUGCCUUCGAUACUGAGAGUCUCGAGUCCGGGAGAGGUGAGUGGAACUGCGAGUGUAGAGGUGAAAUUCGUAGAUAUCGGGGAGGAACACCUGUGGCGAAAGCGGCGCACUGGACCACAACUGACGCUGAGGUGCGAAAAGCCAGGGGGAGCGAACGGG